rnacentral:rRNA from 1 species
AACGAACGCUGGCGGCAUGCCUAACACAUGCAAGUCGAACGAUUGCCUUCGGGUGAUAGUGGCGCACGGGUGCGUAACGCGUGGGAAUCUGCCCUUAGGUUCGGAAUAACAGCUGGAAACGGCUGCUAAUACCGGAUGAUAUCGCGAGAUCAAAGAUUUAUCGCCUGAGGAUGCGCCCGCGUUGGAUUAGGUAGUUGGUGGGGUAAAGGCCUACCAAGCCGACGAUCCAUAGCUGGUCUGAGAGGAUGAUCAGCCACACUGGGACUGAGACACGGCCCAGACUCCUACGGGAGGCAGCAGUGGGGAAUAUUGGACAAUGGGCGCAAGCCUGAUCCAGCAAUGCCGCGUGAGUGAUGAAGGCCCUAGGGUUGUAAAGCUCUUUUACCCGGGAAGAUAAUGACUGUACCGGGAGAAUAAGCCCCGGCUAACUCCGUG